GGGUAGGUAGCGAAGUGGUUAAACGCAUCAGACUGUAAAUCUGACGACUAAGGUCUUCGGAGGUUCGAAUCCUUCCCUACCCA
rnacentral:tRNA from 1 species